rnacentral:rRNA from 1 species
UACGUAGGGCGCAAGCGUUGUCCGGAAUUAUUGGGCGUAAAGAGCUCGUAGGCGGCUUGUCACGUCGGGUGUGAAAGCCCGGGGCUUAACCCCGGGUCUGCAUUCGAUACGGGCUAGCUAGAGUGUGGUAGGGGAGAUCGGAAUUCCUGGUGUAGCGGUGAAAUGCGCAGAUAUCAGGAGGAACACCGGUGGCGAAGGCGGAUCUCUGGGCCAUUACUGACGCUGAGGAGCGAAAGCGUGAGGAGCGAACAGG